GCUAUAGGGGUGCUGCAUGCUGGCUGACCCCAUGCUGUGACCCCCCCAGCUAUAGGGGUGCUGCAUGCUGGCUGACCCCAUGCUGUGACCCCCCCAGCUAUAGGGGUGCUGCAUGCUGGCUGACCCAGUGCUGUGACCCCCCCAGCUAUAGGGGUGCUGCAUGCUGGCUGACCCCAUGCUGUGACCCCCCCAGCUAUAGGGGUGCUGCAUGCUGGCUGACCCCAUGCUGUGACCCCCCCAGCUAUAGGGGUGCUGCAUGCUGGCUGACCCAGUGCUGUGACCCCCCAGCUUGCUAUCACCUGUAUAUGUGUCUCCUGAUGUGAUGAAUAAAGUUUCCCUAUUCUAUUCAAACGGGUGCAGGUACGCUUUUAACAGGGAGUGCAUGCAUAUGUGUGUGAUCUCUCACAAAUACAAUAUUUUAUAACAUAUUUUUUAGAAACUCUAAUUCAGCAUUGAGUUGUUUUGGACAACCUUCAUGGCUUGACUGCUAAUUGUAUGCGCAUAAUAUGAAAACUACAAUUUGGACUGAAUAUCAGUUUUGAUUCAACAGCUGAUAUGUAAAGAGAGCAUCUUUAAAUUCCAAAAGCUCAUCAUGUCUAGCUGAAUGAGAGGGGCGGAAUGCUGUUUUAGUGUGCUUUUCUGUGUCUUCUGGAUGCCCAGCACUUUCCCCCAACGUUUGUCGAUAUAACAAAUAAUGUGUGAUGUGUGAUGUGUAAUGCGUGAUGUGUACAGCUGUGGAUUUACUGUGGCUGUCAUAAGGAGGGGAUGAAAUGUUGACAGGUUAGCCGCUUUUCUUUCUCUGUAUGUGCUUAGAGAUUUUCGGGGUGUACUAAACUCUUUUGUUACUUUUGCUUGGUGUUUGUCUCCUUCUGCAAAGUUUAACUGAACAAAUUCAGCAUCAUAAAUGAGGUACCAUAGAUGGAUCGGUAGCACCAAGUGAUAUAGACAAGCGAGGCUUGAAGGAUGUUGACCGACGUCUUUGACAUCGAACUUUUUCAAGUUGAUGUGUUCUACAAAGGUCAUGUGACUAAAUGUUCACAUGAAAAUAACAUAAAAAUCACAACAUUUCUUGGGACUGCUUGUUUGGAAUAAAUAAUUUGCUGCCAGCAUUUUUUAUGCCUGUUAGUUGUGUCUAGCAGAAGGCUUGUAUAGCUUCCUCAAGCUGAUGAAUUUUGACAGGUUUUUCCCCCUAAUCCUUGACAGAUUGUCAGAAUCUCCUUCUGAGGAUCUCUCUGUCUUGGCUCCUUUCUGAUGUUGGAUGUGGUGAUUCUCCCACUCCCCCAGGCCGCCCAGGCGAGACACAGCGCUCCUGAUGCUGCAGCAGGAACGCCAUCCCCGGGAUCUUCACUCGCGGACAUCACAGGCACGUUCAGCCGUAUUGCAAUUAUCAAGGGAUGACUGUUCCAGGCGUGGCUCCCAGUCUGUUUACGAGGCAGAACCUAUAUUUUGCACGCUUCUCUCAGCCCCUGAUGCCAUUUCUCAGACAGCGUCAAGCGAACUAUGAAUGUCCUGAAGAUUUAAUGCAAUAGUAACAAAACAAGCAAGUAGUUUCUCUACAUAAAAUCCUUAUCAAUUAAAAAAUAUAACACAGCAAAAAAAGUACUGCAUUUUCUGCAUGCGGUGGCAUUCGGAAUGUUUGAAUUGGUCAUGGUUCAUCUCCAAUUAAAAGUUCUUAUGCAUA